AUGCAAUGCAACGUUGUUGGCCAUGGUAAAUUGGAGAAUUGGCUGAUCUUGAUUGACCAAAAAGGGGGCGUGCUCGAAUCCCAAAUUCUGUCAUUCAGAAGAUUCCUUACCCUUCGUCUGCGUUGUCCUCUCCAAUCAUCUUGCUCUCUUUCUUUGUUAUCAAAGGUCACUCUAAAAUCCUACCUGGAGAAUGCUGACCCCACAGCAGCCCCACCUGCACUCCUCGCCCUCCAGCAGCUUCCGGUAGGUGGCAAUCUCCACGUCCAGGGCCAGCUUCACGUUCAUCAACUCCUGGUACUCUUUCAGCAGCCGGGCCAGGUCAUCCUUGGCCUUCUGGAGGGCAGUCUGCAAGCCUUGGAGCUUGGCAUUGGCAUCCUUGAGGGCCAGCUCCUGGUACUCCUUCAGCAACCGGGCCAGGUCAUCCUUGGCCUGCUGUAAGGCAGCCUGCAGCUCUUGGAGCUUGGCGUUGGCAUCCUUGAGAGCCAGCUCCCCGCGCUGCUCGGCCUCAGCGAUGGCCGCCUGCAGGUUGGCAUUCUAGGGCAGGGAGAGGCAGGGGAAGAGAUGAGCCUAGGAGGAGGGUCCCAGACUCUCUGAGUCUUUCAAUACCUUAUCCCAUAGCAAGCAUCUUCAAGCCAGGCAACGUCACUCCCCAACACCUCUAUCUUGUCUUCGUUUCCUGAGAUAUUUGCCCUAUAGAUUACCAGCCCUCUAGACUGGCUUGGUCUUUGAACUCCCUGGAGGCCAGUGCUGCCUGAGAUGACCCCAGAAGUCCAUUCCAGACCAGGAGCCCUACAAUCCUCACCCCCAGCACCAACCCCACCCCCAGUCCCUCUAGGCACCAGUAUCUACUGCCAUCCCACCUGCUUCUUAACAUUCUCAAUCUCAGCCCGCAGCCUCUGGAUCAUUCUGUUGAGCUCCAUGAUCUCAUUCUUGGUGCUCUUCAGGUCAUCCCCGUGUCUGCCGGCCGUGGUCUGCAGCUCCCCCAGCUGGAAAACAGAAGGGAAGAUGGGGUCUUGAUGCAGCUUUGCCUGACUCGUUUCUCCAUCCCUAACAUCACCCACCCAACCUUGAGGGGCUUAGUAAGCGUUUGUUCAAAUGGCAUGGAUUAUGUUUCAGCAGGGACACUUCGGAGGCCGCAGGGAAGAGAACAUUUGGGUUGCCGUGGUAGGAGUUCUCCCACCCUGUGGGCCCUGAACAAGCUAGAAUCCAUCCCACGUGGCCUGGCAGGGGACAGUGGAACCACAUUCCACCAGGGGCGCUACUUUCUGCAACUGAACAACCAUUAGAAAGACAUCUCCAGAGAGUAGAACCAAGAGGAGUCCUCCCAGUGACCACAGGGGACUCACCACCCAGCAGUCCCUCUCAGAGCUGCCUAGCUCCCACCUUGGUCUGGUACAGGGCCUCGGCCUCUGCUUUGCUUCUCUGGGCGAUGUCCUCGUACUGGGCCUUGACCUCGGCGAUGAUGCUGUCCAGGUCCAGGCUGCGGUUGUUGUCCAUGGACAGCACCACGGACGUGUCACUGACAUGGCUCUGCAUCUGGGACAGCUCCUGCCCACACAGAGGGGCCUGUUAACUCUUGGGGCUCUGUGACAAGCCCACAGAGGCCCGGAAAGACUCCUGAACAGCAAACCCAUUCUCUGACUCAAGUCGGAAAGUGCGUCUGCCCCACCCUGCCCCCCAGCCCCUCCGAGAACCCCAUGUCUGCAGUCCAUUCUACGGAACCCCAACAAGGGGCCCUCUCUCUAGGCUGUCUUCCUGGGCUCUAGAUACCAGAGUGCCCCUGCCUCUGAGAAUAUCUCACCUUCCCCUGCACCCCUCUUAGGAGGUAACGUCCUCACCAUACUGUAGAGGGUCGUCAGGAAGUUGGUCUCGUCCAUUAAGGCGUCCACCUUGGCCUGGAGUUCCACCUUGUUCAUGUAGGCCGCGUCCACGUCCUGAGAAAGACAGAAGCGUAAAGGCCUCAUUCCUCCAAGGAACCAACAACGAACUGUACGUGCAGCAGGCAAGAGUCAGGACGGGCUGGCGAGUGACCGGUCCUUGUCCGAGGCUGGUCUGCACGUGAAGGAGUGACUCACAUCCCCUUGGCAUGGUUCAAAAUGAAAAACAAAUGAACCGACUCUUUUAGGGAUCUUUCCAGACUAUAAUGCUCCUGGCUCCUGGUUUUUUUUUUUUUUUUUUGCUCUAACUGCCUGAAAUUGUCAGCUCCGUGGCGGUGGUGUAAGAAGAUUCCCCGCCUCAGCUGGACCCCUGUGCCCACGAGCCCCAGGAACCUCACACACAGCCCUUACCUUCUUCAGGGUCACAAAUUCAUUCUCGGCGGCUGUACGUUUAUUGAUUUCAUCCUCAUACCUGUAAGGAUUAAAAAGUAAUAGCUGAGGGGCGCCUGGGUGGCGCAGUCAUUAAGCGUCUGCCUUUGGCUCAGGGUGUGAUCCCGGCGUUCUGGGAUCGAGCCCCGCAUCAGGCUCUUCUGCUAGGAGCCUGCUUCUUCCUCUCCCACUCCCCCUGCUUGUGUUCCCUCUCUCACUGGCUGUCUCUAUCUCUGUCAAAUAAAUAAAUAAAAUCUUUAAGAAAAAAAAAUAGCUGAGUUUGGGUUUUGAGGUAGUCAUAAACACCACUAUUGUCCGAAACGGAACGCGCAUCUCUCCAUCCGUGUCCCUCCGCCACCCCACUCAGCCGAACACAUCCUCCUUACCAUCCCCCUAUUCGUUAGGGGGACCGGCCAUUCCAGUUUGUCCCAGCACACUGGCCUGGUUCUGGCACUGAAACUCCCAUGUCCUGGGAAGCCCCUCAGUCCCAGGGAAACUGGGACGAUUGGUCACCACACUAUGAGUUGUCCCAGCAGCCUUCAGAUCCUAGAACCAGAACCUUCCCCAACGUGGACCAUGAGGAAGUGCUUCCCCAAACCUAAACUCAUCCCACUUGCCAUAACUUCACUCAUCCUUGGGGAAGGAGGGCGCGUGGGCAGCCCAGUGAACCAAGCUGCUCUCUGUGAAAGUAAGGAGAGGAAGACAGGUGAGGGGACACCACGGCCAGCGGCAGGAGGAGCGCGGGAAGAGCUCGGACUCUGAGCCUGGGUGGCCCGUGGCAACUUCCUGCUCAUGCGUCUGUCACUCACUUCUUCUUGAAGUCCUCCACCAGGUCCUGCAUGUUCCUCAGCUCCGAGUCCAGGCGGCCCCUCUCCCCCAGGAUGCUGUCCAGGUAACCCCGCUGGUUGCUGAUGUAGCUCUCAAAAAGGGGCUCCAGGUUGUUGGUGCCGGUCGUGGCAUUUGUGCCCUGCCGCUGCAGCAGCUCCCACUUGGUCUCCAGGACCUUGUUCUGCUGCUCCAGGAACCGCACCUGCAGUGCAUCGGGGGACGCCGCGUCAGGCAACACGAGCGGCAGCGGCCCGGCGGGGGCCUCGGUUCAGGUAGGACUGAGCAUCGGAAUGUCCCCAUCCCCAGCAGAAGGGCCUAGAAAGGAUGUGAGGGAGGUCCCUACUGUAGCCGGAGAGGCUGCAGGCAGAUGACUGCUUCAGUCGGGCCACUAAAGAUGCAGCAUGGUUUGGAAAGUUCCAGGAGGAGGAGAGACAGGUGGGGCAACUGGAGGUAGCCCCUGUCUGGAAGCAGAGUUGUGAAGAUGACCGCUGGGUGUCCCCCGGGGACCUUGGGACUCUAGCCCAACCUCCACAAAUACAGUAGGCUCUGCAGAAAGGGACUUGCUCCUCAGCAGCGUAGCUCCCGCCUAAAGCUCUCCUGACACUCAGCCCUUCGAAGGACAUGCGUCACUGGGCAGUGACACUGAUUGAAAUGCCAUAAUCAGCAUGACAGGAGGGAGCCCAUCGGUGUAGGCUACCCUGGUCUGGAGGGCACCAAGCACCCUCUGUUCCUGACCGGGUCGAAUUAGGGGUGCAGACUCUUGCCAGCUUCUCCGCAGACCUGUUGGGACUAAGGUUCCAGGCAAGCCUCUUUAAUCCCUUCUCUAGGGCACCCACCUCCUUUGCCUGGCACAGGGACAAGGAAGGAACAGGCCUCCCAGAAAGCCUCAAAGGGCAGCUCAUGCCCAAAAAAUGCCCAGUCCUGGGUCAGACCCGUUCCUGUCAUGGCUCUUGCCGUGUGUUGCCAUUGCCGCCAGCCUAGGCCCGGACAAGGCAACAGUCGGGAGCCUUGAGCAGGGAGCCAGACAAGCAGAAUUUGCGGAUGUCCACUUCCAAAGAGGGGCCCACUGUCUUUCCUAUUCAGGUGACCAUGUAGGCAAACUCAUCAGCCCUGAACAUCUUCCCAGACCCUAGAGCUCUGCCUAACCAUCCCGGUCCAGCCUGGCUCAUCCAAGAUUGAUCCUAAACACUGUCUAAAUGUCAAACGCUAAGUCCCAGCCUAGAAAAGGGGGCCCGGUCAAAGCUUCAUCACCUUGUCGAUGAAGGAGGCGAACUUGUUGUUGAGGGUCUUGAUCUGCUCGCGCUCCUGGGUCUUGACCUGCCCAAUCUGGGGGUCGAUCUCCACAAUUGAGGGGCUGCAGGAGGCUCUGGUUGACAGUCACUUCCUGGAUUCCCCCAGGGAAGCCACCAGGACCAAAGCCACCAGGCCCACCAAAGCCACCGGGCCCACCAAAGCCACCAGCCCCUCCAAAGCCACCAGCCCCUCCAAAGCCACCAGCUCCACCAAAGCCACCAGCUCCACCAAAGCCACCAGCCCCUNAAAGCCACCAGCCCCUCCAAAGCCACCUCCCAUUCCUCUGCCACCACCAAAGCCACCACCAAAGCCACCUCCAUAGCCACCCCCAAAGCCGCUGCCACAGCUGCUACGCCCUCCCCCGAAGCCACCAGCCCGGGAGCCACCAGCCACGCUGAUGGAGAUGCUCUUGUUGCCGCCCAGGCUGUAGAGGCUGCGACUGCCAAAGCCGCCCGCUCCACCCCGGAGCCCACAGGCCCCUCCGCCGGCUCCCCCGGAGCGGGCCACACAGCUCAUUCUGCUGCUGCCGGAGACCACGGCGGAGCGGCCCGAGAAGCCCUGGCUGCCGCCCCCAGACGUCUUGCAGACUUGUCUGUUCAUGGUGAGAGAGCUUGACGAAGGAAGAGCACAAGAGUCAAGCAGGGCACCGAGAGUCAGAGGAAGAGGGAAGGGAACUGAAGACCUGUGCAGAAUAAAUCCCUUUAUAUAUCUCAAGGAGGUGGCUGGGCUCAAACGAAGGAGAGAUAAUUAC
ensembl:lncRNA